GCCCUCAUAGCUCAGCCAGGUCCAGAGCGCCGCCCUGUCAAGGCGGAGGUCGCCGGUUCAAAUCCGGUUGGGGGCG
rnacentral:tRNA from 1 species